rnacentral:rRNA from 1 species
UACGAAGGUGGCUAGCGUUGCUCGGAAUGACUGGGCGUAAAGGGCGCGUAGGCGGUUUGUACAGUCAGGCGUGAAAUUCCUGGGCUCAACCUGGGGGCUGCGUUUGAUACGUAUGAGCUUGAGUUCGGAAGAGGGUCGUGGAAUUCCCAGUGUAGAGGUGAAAUUCGUAGAUAUUGGGAAGAACACAGGUGGCGAAGGCGGCGACCUGGUCCGAUACUGACGCUGAGGCGCGAAAGCGUGGGGAGCAAACAGG